rnacentral:tRNA from 1 species
CACCGUUGGUCUAAUGGUUAGGAUAUCUGCCUUCCAAGCAGAUGGUCCGGGUUCAAUUCCCGGACGGUGCA